GGUUAAGCGACUAAGCGUACACGGUGGAUGCCCUGGCAGUCAGAGGCGAUGAAGGACGUGCUAAUCUGCGAAAAGCGUCGGUAAGGUGAUAUGAACCGUUAUAGCCGGCGAUGUCCGAAUGGGGAAACCCAGUGUGAUUCGUCACACUAUCGUUAACUGAAUACAUAGGUUAACGAGGCGAACCGGGGGAACUGAAACAUCUAAGUACCCCGAGGAAAAGAAAUCAACCGAGAUUCCCCCAGUAGCGGCGAGCGAACGGGGAGCAGCCCAGAGUCUGAAUCAGCUUGUGUGUUAGUGGAACGGUCUGGAAAGUCCGACGGUACAGGGUGAUAGUCCCGUACACCAAAAUGCACAGGCUGUGAACUCGAAGAGUAGGGCGGGACACGUGGUAUCCUGUCUGAAUAUGGGGGGACCAUCCUCCAAGGCUAAAUACUCCUGACUGACCGAUAGUGAACCAGUACCGUGAGGGAAAGGCGAAAAGAACCCCGGCGAGGGGAGUGAAAAAGAACCUGAAACCGUGUACGUACAAGCAGUGGGAGCACCUUCGGGUGUGACUGCGUACCUUUUGUAUAAUGGGUCAGCGACUUAUAUUCUGUAGCAAGGUUAACCGUAUAGGGGAGCCGCAGGGAAACCGAGUCUUAACUGGGCGUUAAGUUGCAGGGUAUAGACCCGAAACCCGGUGAUCUAGCCAUGGGCAGGUUGAAGGUUGGGUAACACUAACUGGAGGACCGAACCGACUAAUGUUGAAAAAUUAGCGGAUGACUUGUGGCUGGGGGUGAAAGGCCAAUCAAACCGGGAGAUAGCUGGUUCUCCCCGAAAGCUAUUUAGGUAGCGCCUCGUGAAUUCAUCUUCGGGGGUAGAGCACUGUUUCGGCUAGGGGGUCAUCCCGACUUACCAACCCGAUGCAAACUACGAAUACCGAAGAAUGUUAUCACGGGAGACACACGGCGGGUGCUAACGUCCGUCGUGAAGAGGGAAACAACCCAGACCGCCAGCUAAGGUCCCAAAGUCAUGGUUAAGUGGGAAACGAUGUGGGAAGGCACAGACAGCCAGGAUGUUGGCUUAGAAGCAGCCAUCAUUUAAAGAAAGCGUAAUAGCUCACUGGUCGAGUCGGCCUGCGCGGAAGAUGUAACGGGGCUAAACCAUGCACCGAAGCUGCGGCAGCGACACGAUGUGUUGUUGGGUAGGGGAGCGUUCUGUAAGCCUGCGAAGGUGACCUGUGAGGGUUGCUGGAGGUAUCAGAAGUGCGAAUGCUGACAUAAGUAACGAUAAAGCGGGUGAAAAGCCCGCUCGCCGGAAGACCAAGGGUUCCUGUCCAACGUUAAUCGGGGCAGGGUGAGUCGACCCCUAAGGCGAGGCCGAAAGGCGUAGUCGAUGGGAAACAGGUUAAUAUUCCUGUACUUGGUGUUACUGCGAAGGGGGGACGGAGAAGGCUAUGUUAGCCGGGCGACGGUUGUCCCGGUUUAAGCAUGUAGGCUGGUUGUCCAGGCAAAUCCGGAUAAUCAAGGCUGAGGUGUGAUGACGAGGCACUACGGUGCUGAAGUAACAAAUGCCCUGCUUCCAGGAAAAGCCUCUAAGCAUCAGGUAACAUUGAAUCGUACCCCAAACCGACACAGGUGGUCAGGUAGAGAAUAUCAAGGCGCUUGAGAGAACUCGGGUGAAGGAACUAGGCAAAAUGGUGCCGUAACUUCGGGAGAAGGCACGCUGGUGUGUAGGUGAAGUCCCUGCGGAUGGAGCUGAGACCAGUCGAAGAUACCAGCUGGCUGCAACUGUUUAUUAAAAACACAGCACUGUGCAAACACGAAAGUGGACGUAUACGGUGUGACGCCUGCCCGGUGCCGGAAGGUUAAUUGAUGGGGUUAUCCGUAAGGAGAAGCUCUUGAUCGAAGCCCCGGUAAACGGCGGCCGUAACUAUAACGGUCCUAAGGUAGCGAAAUUCCUUGUCGGGUAAGUUCCGACCUGCACGAAUGGCGUAAUGAUGGCCAGGCUGUCUCCACCCGAGACUCAGUGAAAUUGAACUCGCUGUGAAGAUGCAGUGUACCCGCGGCAAGACGGAAAGACCCCGUGAACCUUUACUAUAGCUUGACACUGAACAUUGAGCCUUGAUGUGUAGGAUAGGUGGGAGGCUUUGAAGCGUGGACGCCAGUCUGCGUGGAGCCAACCUUGAAAUACCACCCUUUAAUGUUUGAUGUUCUAACGUUGGCCCCUGACCGGGGUUGCGGACAGUGUCUGGUGGGUAGUUUGACUGGGGCGGUCUCCUCCCAAAGCGUAACGGAGGAGCACGAAGGUUAGCUAAUCCUGGUCGGACAUCAGGAGGUUAGUGCAAUGGCAUAAGCUAGCUUGACUGCGAGCGUGACGGCGCGAGCAGGUGCGAAAGCAGGUCAUAGUGAUCCGGUGGUUCUGAAUGGAAGGGCCAUCGCUCAACGGAUAAAAGGUACUCCGGGGAUAACAGGCUGAUACCGCCCAAGAGUUCAUAUCGACGGCGGUGUUUGGCACCUCGAUGUCGGCUCAUCACAUCCUGGGGCUGAAGUAGGUCCCAAGGGUAUGGCUGUUCGCCAUUUAAAGUGGUACGCGAGCUGGGUUUAGAACGUCGUGAGACAGUUCGGUCCCUAUCUGCCGUGGGCGCUGGAGAAUUGAGGGGGGCUGCUCCUAGUACGAGAGUACCGGAGUGGACGCAUCACUGGUGUUCGGGUUGUCAUGCCAAUGGCACUGCCCGGUAGCUAAAUGCGGAAGAGAUAAGUGCUGAAAGCAUCUAAGCACGAAACUUGCCCCGAGAUGAGUUCUCCCUGAGACUUUAAGUCUCCUGAAGGAACGUUAAAGACGAUGACGUUGAUAGGCCGGGUGUGUAAGCGCAGCGAUGCGUUGAGCUAACCGGUACUAAUUAACCGUGAGGCUUAACCUU
rnacentral:rRNA from 1 species